GGACAGAGGUGCCGAGCGUUAGGCGGAAUCACUGGGCUUAAAGCGUGUGUAGGCGGGCGGGCAAGUACCUUGUGAAAUCCCACGGCUCAACCGUGGAACGGCUGGGUAUACUGCCUGUCUUGAGCCAACUAGGGGCGAGCGGAACAGACGGUGGAGCGGUGAAAUGCGUAGAUAUCGUCUGGAACGCCGAAGGUGAAAACAGCUCGCUGGGGUUGUGCUGACGCUGAGACACGAAAGCCAGGGGAGCGAACGGG
rnacentral:rRNA from 1 species